rnacentral:rRNA from 1 species
UCAGGAUGAACGCUGGCGGCGUGCCUAACACAUGCAAGUCGAACGGAACCUACAGUGGAGACUCGGUCAAAGCAGUAAGAAUUCUAGUGGCGGACGGGUGAGUAACGCGUGGGUAACCUGCCCAUAAGAAUUGAAUAACAGUGAGAAAUCACUGCUAAUACAAUAUAAGCUUACAGCAUCGCAUGGUGCAGUGAGAAAAGAUUUAUCGCUUAUGGAUGGACCCGCGUUAGAUUAGCAAGUUGGUGAGGUAACGGCUCACCAAAGCGACGAUCUAUAGCCGGCCUGAGAGGGUGAACGGCCACAUUGGGACUGAGACACGACCCAAACUCCUACGGGAGGCAGCAGUGGGGAAUAUUGCACAAUGGGGGGAACCCUGAUGCAGCAACGCCGCGUGAGUGAAGAAGUAUUUCGGUAUGUAAAGCUCUAUCAAUAGGGAAUAAGAUGAAGGUACCUAAAUAAGAAGCCCCGGCUAACUACGUGCCAGCCGCUGC